AUACGUACCGGACAAACGUUAUUCGGAAUAACUGGGCUUAAAGAGUGCGUAGGCGGCUUUGUAGGUGAGGUGUGAAAGCCCACGGCUCAACCGUGGAAUUGCGCUUCAAACCACAAAGCUUGAGGGAGACAGGGGUGAGCGGAACUGAUGGUGGAGCGGUGAAAUGCGUUGAUAUCAUCAGGAACACCGGUGGCGAAGGCGGCUCACUGGGUCUCUUCUGACGCUGAGGCACGAAAGCUAGGGUAGCGAACGGGAUUAGAAACCCCAGUAGUCC
rnacentral:rRNA from 1 species